rnacentral:lncRNA from 1 species
CCAUUCUAGUAUUUUGCGCCAACUAGCAUGCUGUAUAAGCAAGGAUUCGACUCCUAAGCAGGGGUCACGAGCUCCGUCAAGGACAACUGGCAGCUUCACACAUCAGAAAUCCUGGUGUCUCAGGUACCUGAUUGUAGCUCACGAUUGAUUCCCCGUCUCAAUGUCUCGAUUCACAUUAUCUGAUCGCUGUGCAGGAGAUGAGUCGCCCUGUAUACAGCAAGCGGGUGAACCAGCCUACAGAGUAAUUCAACAAGGGCAUAGGUGCAUAGUGUCAGAAUACUACAGCUCAUC